GACGAACGCUGGCGGCGUGCCUAAUACAUGCAAGUAGAACGCUGAAGGAGGAGCUUGCUUCUCUGGAUGAGUUGCGAACGGGUGAGUAACGCGUAGGUAACCUGCCUGGUAGCGGGGGAUAACUAUUGGAAACGAUAGCUAAUACCGCAUAAUAGCAGUUGUUGCAUGACAACUGUUUGAAAGGUGCAAUUGCACCACUACCAGAUGGACCUGCGUUGUAUUAGCUAGUUGGUGGGGUAACGGCUCACCAAGGCGACGAUACAUAGCCGACCUGAGAGGGUGAUCGGCCACACUGGGACUGAGACACGGCCCAGUCUCCUACGGGAGGCAGCAGUAGGGAAUCUUCGGCAAUGGACGGAAGUCUGACCGAGCAACGCCGCGUGAGUGAAGAAGGUUUUCGGAUCGUAAAGCUCUGUUGUAAGAGAAGAACGAGUGUGAGAGUGGAAAGUUCACACUGUGACGGUAUCUUACCAGAAAGGGACGGCUAACUACGUG
rnacentral:rRNA from 1 species